AAGGAGGCCUCCUUCCACGGACGCUAAGACCGGUCGCAAGCGACACACAGUCUCCAUGAGUGUACACGUUAACCCUUACUAGCAAACCUUCGUCUAGCGUAGGGUCCGAAUUCGAUUUCCUUUAUAGUUGGCGAACCAACACAGAUAGGAUACAUACAUAAAACAUAAAUAUUUUUGGCAGACAAUCAUUCAUAAACAUUUCUUUUCAUUUCAUAAGAACCAUUCAUCAUUUAAUCAUUUCCAUAAACAUUUCAUUUCAUAAAAACCAUUCACCAUUUGAAAUAAUACAGUCAUAUCAUGUCAUUCAUUUCAUUUCGUAUAAGAGGCCUGUAUGCAGGGGAUCUCUAUAUACGUGUUUUAAGAAAGCCCACCUCAUUCCGUUCCCACUAGGGGCGUAGAGUUACCUCCUUCUUUAGCUUUCACUUCCCGUCUGGACCUUUAUUGACGAAGAGUCGAUAAGUUCGAGAAGAAAGUCGUGUAAGAAAGGAAGAUAGGUCUCUAAACUAAACUAUCUCCUUUAAUGAUUUUAGGGUUCUAGCAUCCAUAUUAAUCUU
rnacentral:lncRNA from 1 species